rnacentral:rRNA from 1 species
AAUCAACGCUGGCGGCGUGCCUAACACAUGCAAGUCGAACGCGAAAGCCCCUUCGGGGGUAAGUAGAGUGGCGUCCGGGUGAGUAACACGUGGGUAAUCUACCUUCGGGUGGGGAAUAACUCAGGGAAACUUGAGCUAAUACCGCAUAAUGCAGCGGCACCUAAUGGUGAUUAGUUGUUAAAGCGGGGAUCGCAAGACCUCGCGCCUGAAGAGGAGCCUGCGGCAGAUUAGCUAGNGGUGAGGUAAUGGCUCACCAAGGCUUCGAUCUGUAGCUGGUCUGAGAGGACGGCCAGCCACACUGGCACUGACACACGGGCCAGACUCCUACGGAGGCAGCAGUGGGAAUAUUGGACAAUGGGCGAAAGCCUGAUCCAGCCAUGCCGCGUGAGUGA